rnacentral:lncRNA from 1 species
UCUACUGAAGCAACAAUCACCACUAUAAAUCAAAGCUUGACAUAGAUAUUGAGUCAAUCAUCCAAAAGAUGAGCGAAUAGGUGGUUCUCUCUUUCGCUGAUCAUUGCGAAGCCGUGCAAGCAUUCAUAUAUGCAUAUAAAGGACACACUCCAUAUGUGAAUGGUGUGUCAUAUCGCUUCACGGUUGAUGUUCUGUAGUUAAAUAAAAUAAUGGUACAACAUGAUCAAACGAUUAAAGUCUAUAUAAAAAGAAUUCAUCUACAUAAAUCAUUGCAGCCAGCUCGACGAGAAACC